GAAGAUAAGUAUCGGUGUCAUCUACUGAUCCAAGAACCAGUUACCAAUGAUGGUACAAGAGGAUCCCGAAAAUGUACAGUUGUUGCAGGGUUGUGAAAAUUGAAACAACAUGUGUCUUUUUAAGUAGCACAAUCGGUGAAAAUCAACGUUUUUAUUUAGUUUUGAAGAGUUGUUAAUUUUUAACAUGAAAAGACGCGAUUGAUCCUCCAAUUGGAAGUUUAUCAAACUUUUCUUUUAAUUACCGACUUAAUUGAAACCAGAAACUAGACGAUGAAUGUUGGAUGGGGAUAGAAGAGACACAUAAGUAACUAGCUAAUCAUCUGAACGUGGUUAGGUCAUAGCUAUGACAAGAAUAGCGAAGACGUCUAUGACAUUAACGUGCAAGAGGUUCAGUUAGGAAGUUUGAAUAUGGAAAUUGGAAUACCAAGCUGCUUGCGCAAUAGCACCACAACAAAUAGGUAAUGAUAGUUUUUGGAUAAACAUGAUUUCAGUUUAGGCCUAAGAGUACUUUAACGGAUCGGCGGUCGAUGAAGACUGAUAAAUACAAUAAUAAGAGCAAUGAUCAAUCUCAGUGGCUGUUACAAUAAUUACUAUAAUAACCAGAAGGUUGGAAAGGAAGCCUGGAGGUAUGGAAUCAUCAAAUGACAAAUUGACAAGCCAUAGUCUUCAGUAGAAACAAGAUGUAA